GUGGGGAAUAUUGGACAAUGGGCGCAAGCCUGAUCCAGCCAUGCCGCGUGUGUGAUGAAGGCCUUAGGGUUGUAAAGCACUUUCACCGAUGAAGAUAAUGACGGUAGUCGGAGAAGAAGCCCCGGCUAACUUCGUGCCAGCAGCCGCGGUAAUACGAAGGGGGCUAGCGUUGUUCGGAAUCACUGGGCGUAAAGCGCACGUAGGCGGAUUGUUAAGUGAGGGGUGAAAUCCCAGGGCUCAACCCUGGAACUGCCUUUCAUACUGGCAAUCUCGAGUUCGAGAGAGGUAAGUGGAAUUCCGAGUGUAGAGGUGAAAUUCGUAGAUAUUCGGAGGAACACCAGUGGCGAAGGCGGCUUACUGGAUCGAUACUGACGCUGAGGUGCGAAAGCGUGGGGAGCAAACAGGAUUAGAAACCCCAGUAGUCC
rnacentral:rRNA from 1 species